rnacentral:rRNA from 1 species
AUUGAACGCUGGCGGCAGGCAUAACACAUGCAAGUCGAGCGGAGCGGCGGACGGGUAAUUCAUGACUAGGAAUUUGCCUGUUAGUGGGGUAUCCCGUCCGGAACCGGGCGCUACUACCGCAUACUAUCAGAUGAGCCUAGGUCGGAUUAGCUAGUUGGUGGGGUAAAGGCCUACCAAGGCGACGAUCCGUAACUGGUCUGAGAGGAUGAUAAGUAACACUGGAACUGAGACACGGUCCAGACUCCUACGGUAGGCAGCAGUGGGGAAUAUGGGACAAUGGGCGAAAGCCUGAUUCAGCCAUGCCGCGUGUGUGAAGAAGGUCUUCGGAUUGUAAAGCACUUUAAGUAGGGAGGCGUUACCCAAAGAAUAAGCACCGGCUAACUUCGUGCCAGCAGCCGCGGUAAUAC